rnacentral:rRNA from 1 species
GUGAGAGACACGUAAGCGAAAGUAACGAGAGCUGCGCGAGUUCCAGAGUACGGCCAGACACGUGAAACCUGGUCGGAAGAUGGGGGGACCACCCUCCAACCCUAAAUACUACCCAGUGACCGAUAGCGUAUAGUACUGUGAAGGAAAGGUGAAAAGCACCCCGGGAGGGGAGUGAAAAAGAACCUGAAACCCUGUGCCUACAAGCACCUAGAGCACGUCAAUGUGUGAUAGGGUACUUUUUGUAGAACGGUCCGGCGAGCGAUUGUAUGCAGCAAGGUUAAGGACUUAAGGUCUGGAGCCGAAGCGAAAGCGAGUUUGAAAAGGGCGUUAAGUUGCAUAUAAUGGGCCCGAAACCGGGUGACCUACCCAUGGUCAGGUUGAAGUGGAAGUAAAAUUCCAUGGAGGACCGAACCGACCUCCGUUGAAAAGGCGGCGGAUGAACUGUGGGUAGCGGAGAAAUUCCAAUCGAACCCGGAGAUAGCUGGUUCUCCCCGAAAUAGUUUUAGGACUAGCCUCAAGUUAGAUACCUGGAGGUAAAGCACUGAAUAGCCUAGCGGCCGAGAGGUUAGCGAAGCUUAUCAAACUCAGAAUGCCAGAGUAUUGAUGCUUGGGAGUCAGACAGUGUCAGAUAAAUGUCAUUGUCAAAAGGGAAACAGCCCAGAUCUACAGCUAAGGUCCCAAAGUCAGGUUAAGUGGAAAACGAUGUGAAGAUACGUAGACAACCAGGAUGUUGGCUCAGAAGCAGCCACUCAUUCAAAGAGUGCGUAAUAGCUCACUGGUCGAGCGUCUUUGCGCGGAGAAUUUAACGGGGCUAAACCUGACACCGAAGCUUAGGCAAUCCAGCAAUGGAUUGGGUAGGGGAGCGUUGUAUACGCGGAGAAACAGUAGCGUAAGCGGCUGUGGAGUGUAUAGAAGUGAGAAUGCCGGAAUGAGUAGCGCGAAUGCAGUGAGAAUCUGCAUGGCCGAAAGCCUCAGGUUUCUGGAGGAAGGUUCGUCCGCUCCAGGUUAGUCGGGAGCUAAGGUGAGGCCGGAAGGCGUAGCCGAUGCACAGACGGUAGAGAUUCCGUCACCACCAAAAGAGUUAAGCACAGGGACACAUUUGAAGUCUCAGAGCCGGGUGUUGGUUCCGGUAGAGAUCGAGGGAAGUUAGUACCGAAGUCCGGGAUGGAAGAUGGCGAGAAAAGCUGUGUGUAUUUCUGCGGUGCCCGUACCGCAAACCGACACAGGUAGGUAGGAAGAAGAUUCUAAGGCCAACGGGAGAAGGGUUGUUAAGGAACUCGGCAAAUUGACCCCGUAACUUCGGGAGAAGGGGUGCUCCAGAGAUGGAGCCGCAGAGAAUCGGCCCAAGCAACUGUUUACCAAAAACACAGGUUUGUGCUAAAUCGAAAGAUGACGUAUACGAGCUGACGCCUGCCCGGUGCUGGAAGGUUAAGAGGAGAUGUGCAAGCAUUGAAUCGAAGCCCCAGUGAACGGCGGCCGUAACUAUAACGGUCCUAAGGUAGCGAAAUUCCUUGUCAGGUAAGUUCUGACCCGCACGAAAGGCGUAAUGAUUUGGGCACUGUCUCGACAGCGCACCCGGUGAAAUUGUAGUACCAGUGAAGAUGCUGGUUACCCGCGACAGGACGGAAAGACCCCGUGCACAGGAUAGAUGGGACUCUGGGAAGUGAUCGCUUUGGCGGUCAUGGAGAGGACGUUGGGAUACCAUCCUUGCGAUAUUGGAAUUCUAACCUGCGGCUCUGAAUCGAGUCGGGGGACAUUGUUAGGUGGGCAGUUUGACUGGGGCGGUCGCCUCCUAAAAAGUAACGGAGGCGUUCAAAGGUUCGCUCAGCUUGAACGGAAAUCAAGCAAAAGAGUGCAAACGCA